GUCGCACUACUGCACUCCAGUCUGGUGACAGAGCGAGAUUCCACCUCAAAAAAAAAAAUGCAAUGAACACAUGUCAUCCUGCCCAAGCCAAAAGAAAGAUGGGAGCUAUUUUCUCAGCUGGUAGCAUAAUUGUAUUAUUCGCAGAGGCACACUGAAGACUCAGUGUCAGCUCGGUGCAGUUAGAAAGAACGCUGACGGUGGCAAAGCUAAAUGGUCUUUGUCAGGCAUUCUCCAGCAUUCAAACGGGUAAUAUUCCAUAGCGUCUUUCACUAAGUCAGUUCAUGCAGGGAGGCAGAAGCAGGAGGCAGCGCUCUCAAAGUCACAGGCUCCAAGUGAGCCAUGCUGAAGUUUAGUUUCAUGGUCGAGGUUGCCAACUAGUAACUUUUAUUCAUACAAUUUUCAAGUUAAAAUCUUUAUUUCCAGCUAGGCGCGGUGGCUCAUGCCUGUAAUCCCAGCACUUUGGGAGGCCGAGGCAGGCAGAUCACGAGGUCAGGAGAUCAAGACCAUCCUGGCUAACGCGGUGAAUCCCCAUCUCUACUAAAAAUACAAAAACAAAAAAUUAGCCAGGUGUGGUGGCAGGCACCUGUAGUCCCAGCUACUCGGGAGGCUGAGGCAGGAGAAUGGUGUGAACCCGGGAGGCGGAGGUUGCAGUGAGCCGAGAUUGUGCCACUGCACUCCAGCUUGGGCCACAGAGCAAGGCUCCAUCUCAAAAAAAAAAAAAAAAUCCUCACUUCCACACUUUCCCACGGUGCCCUGGGAUCUUGGCUAUUUGCUCAAGCAUUUGAAAACAUUUCUUUUUUAAUUUCUUGAAAGCUUAAGUUCACAAAGAAACUUGUACAUGAAUGCUCAUGGAAGCUUCAUUUGUAAUGGUCGAAAAUGGGGGACAAGGCAGCCGUCCUUCGACGAUGACUGAUUAAACAGUGGUGUGUCCACACCAGGAACACGGCUCAGCUAUGGAAAGGAACGGGCUCUGAUACACACAGCAACGUGAAUGGGUCUCAAGGGCAUUUUACUGAGUGCAAAAAUGCCUUGUGAGGUUACUGUGUGGUUUUGUUUAUGUAACAGUCUCAAAGGAUAAAAUUAUAGAGACGGAGAGCAGAUUAAUGGUUCCAGGAGCAAGGAAGACAGGAACCCUCGUGUGGAGCUGUUCUGCCUCUUGACUGUCAAGGUGGCCAUCCUACUCUACAGCAGUGAUACAGUUACGGAAAAUAAAUGCACACAAAUGAACUGAGACUGGAGGAACCCCAGUGACACUGUUUUUAUGCCUCCAGAGUACAUCGUAUACAACAGAUGCUCAAUGAUGGUUCAGUUGAAUUCCAUUAAAUCAAGGAUGCAGUGGAGACACCUCAGUAAAGGCAGAGACACGCUUACCAGAAUGGGGCUGCACACCCUGUGCUUCUUUCGAGCCUGGUCCAUUCCAUCAGCAAAUCCUGUUGAUGAUUAUCUCCAGAAAAUAUCCAUAAUUGCACUGCUUCCCACCAUGCCUACCAACAUCCCCG